rnacentral:rRNA from 1 species
UGAGGAAUAUUGGUCAAUGGGCGAGAGCCUGAACCAGCCAAGUAGCGUGCAGGAUGACGGCCCUAUGGGUUGUAAACUGCUUUUAUAUGGGAAUAAAGUGAGGGACGUGUCCCUUAUUGCAUGUACCAUACGAAUAAGGACCGGCUAAUUCCGUGCCAGCAGCCGCGGUAAUACGGAAGGUCCAGGCGUUAUCCGGAUUUAUUGGGUUUAAAGGGAGCGUAGGCUGUUUGUUAAGCGUGUUGUGAAAUGUAAGAGCUCAACUUUUAGAUUGUAGCGCGAACUGGCAGACUUGAGUGCGCACAACGUAGGCGGAAUUCAUGGUGUAGCGGUGAAAUGCUUAGAUAUCAUGACGAACUCCGAUUGCGAAGGCAGCUUACGGGAGUGUUACUGACGCUUAAGCUCGAAGGUGCGGGUAUCGAACAGG